rnacentral:rRNA from 1 species
GCAGCGGAGCGUGUGGUUUAAUUCGUUGCUACGACGAAGAACCUUACCUGGUUGACAUAUAGGUUGUAGGGAACUGAAAGGGACCGACCCUUCGGGGAGCCUAUACAGGUGUUGCAUGGCUGUCGUCAGCUCGUGUCGUGAGAUGUUCGGUUAAGUCCGCUAACGAGCGCAACCCUCGUCGUAUGUUAUAUGUGUCAUACGAGACUGCCGGUAAAAGCCGGAGGAAGGUGAGGAUGAUGUCAAGUCAGCAUGACCUUUAUAUCCAGGGCUACACACACGCUACAAUGGUCUGUACAAUGGGUAGCCAAGCCGCAAGGCGGAGCCAAUCCUGAAAGCAGGCCUCAGUUCAGAUUGCAGUCUGCAACUCGACUGCAUGAAGCCGGAGUUGCUAGUAACCGCAGGUCAGCAAUACUGCGGUGAAUACGUUCCCGGGUCUU